rnacentral:rRNA from 2 species
CAGGUGCUGCAUGGCUGUCGUCAGCUCGUGUUGUGAAAUGUUGGGUUAAGUCCCGCAACGAGCGCAACCCUUAUCCUUUGUUGCCAGCGGUCCGGCCGGGAACUCAAAGGAGACUGCCAGUGAUAAACUGGAGGAAGGUGGGGAUGACGUCAAGUCAUCAUGGCCCUUACGACCAGGGCUACACACGUGCUACAAUGGCGCAUACAAAGAGAAGCGACCUCGCGAGAGCAAGCGGACCUCAUAAAGUGCGUCGUAGUCCGGAUUGGAGUCUGCAACUCGACUCCAUGAAGUCGGAAUCGCUAGUAAUCGUGGAUCAGAAUGCCACGGUGAAUACGUUCCCGGGCCUUGUACACACCGCCCGUCACACCAUGGGAGUGGGUUGCAAAAGAAGUAGGUAGCUUAACCUUCGGGAGGGCGCUUACCACUUUGUGAUUCAUGACUGGGGUGAAGUCGUAACAAGGUAACCGUAGGGGAACCUGCGGUUGGAUCACCUCCUUA